rnacentral:rRNA from 1 species
GCGGCGGACGGGUGAGUAACACGUGGGUAACCUACCUAUAAGACUGGAAUAACUCCGGGAAACCGGGGCUAAUGCCGGAUAAUAUUUAGAACCGCAUGGUUCUAAAGUGAAAGAUGGUUUUGCUAUCACUUAUAGAUGGACCCGCGCCGUAUUAGCUAGUUGGUGGGGUAAUGGCUUACCAAGGCAACGAUACGUAGCCGACCUGAGAGGGUGAUCGGCCACACUGGAACUGAGACACGGUCCAGACUCCUACGGGAGGCAGCAGUAGGGAAUCUUCCGCAAUGGGCGAAAGCCUGACGGAGCAACGCCGCGUGAGUGAUGAAGGUCUUCGGAUCGUAAAACUCUGUUAUUAGGGAAGAACAAAUGUGUAAGUAACUGUGCACGUCUUGACGGUACCUAAUCAGAAAGCCACGGCUAACUACGUGCCAGCAGCCGCGGUAAUACGUAGGUGGCAAGCGUUAUCCGGAAUUAUUGGGCGUAAAGCGCGCGUAGGCGGUUUCUUAAGUCUGAUGUGAAAGCCCACGGCUCAACCGUGGAGGGUCAUUGGAAACUGGGAAACUUGAGUGCAGAAGAGGAAAGUGGAAUUCCAUGUGUAGCGGUGAAAUGCGCAGAGAUAUGGAGGAACACCAGUGGCGAAGGCGACUUUCUGGUCUGUAACUGACGCUGAUGUGCGAAAGCGUGGGGAUCAAACAGGAUUAGAUACCCUGGUAGUCCACGCCGUAAACGAUGAGUGCUAAGUGUUAGGGGGUUUCCGCCCCUUAGUGC